UUACCUGCGGAGGGAUCAUUACACAACAAAAUAUGAAGGCCUGGCUUCGCGGCCGGCUGAAAUAUUUUUUUCACCCAUGUCUUUUGCGCACUUGUUGUUUCCUGGGCGGGUUCGCCCGCCACCAGGACCAAACCAUAAACCUUUUUUUUAUGCAGUUGCAAUCAGCGUCAGUAAAAACAAUGUAAUUAUUACAACUUUCAACAACGGAUCUCUUGGUUCUGGCAUCGAUGAAGAACGCAGCGAAAUGCGAUACGUAGUGUGAAUUGCAGAAUUCAGUGAAUCAUCGAAUCUUUGAACGCACAUUGCGCCCUUUGGUAUUCCAAAGGGCAUGCCUGUUCGAGCGUCAUUUGUACCUUCAAGCUUUGCUUGGUGUUGGGCGUUUUUUGUCUCCCUCUUUCUGGGAGACUCGCCUUAAAACGAUUGGCAGCCGGCCUACUGGUUUCGGAGCGCAGCACAUAUUUUGCGCUUUGUAUCAGGAGAAAAGGACGGUAAUCCAUCAAGACUCUACAUUUUUAACUUUGACCUCGGAUCAGGUAGGGAACGCGCUGAACUUAAGCAUAUCAAUAGCCCGG
rnacentral:rRNA from 1 species